GCUUCCAACCACAUCAGUGAAUAUGUCCCCGGGCUUGAAGAACACUGAUAAUCCAAAAUCUAUAGCCUUGAGAGAUGAGUCCUCCUGCUCAUUGACAAAGAGAAAAUUCUCAGGCUUGAGAUCCCUAUGCAUGACCCCCAAAGAAUGGCAGGCUUCUAUAACGCCAACUAUAGUCCUAGUGAGUUGAGCUGCCUUUUUUUCUGUAUAAUGUCCUCGCUUAAUAAUCCUGUCAAAGAGCUCACCUCCAGCACACAAUUCCAUCACAACAUGAACUGCUACUGCAUCUUCAUAAGCCCCUUUGAUUGAUAUAACAUUAGGGUGCCCUGACAAGUGAUGCAUUAUCUGAAUUUCUCUCCUCACAUCUUCCUCAUCAUCUUGCGUGGAUAACUUACUUUUUGCAAUGGAUUUGCAAGCAUAUUGUUUCCCCGUCCCUUUCUCCACGCAAAGAAAAGUUGUACCGAAUUGCCCAUGUCCAAGCUUGCCUACCAAUUUGUAGUACUCCUUCAAAUGACCUGUUUUCGUUCUCAACACCGACUCUGCUCUAAGCCCUGCGCUAUAUAAUCUCUUAACAUUAUGGGGCUUUUUUGGUCUUGGGGGCACUGCUGGUUUUUUCUCAUCUGUGUGUAUUAUUGGCUGUGCCGGUCUACUCUCUUCUCUGCUAUUCGUGACCUCCAACGGAAGUGUCUCUGGCUUUGGUGGUAAUGAUGCUUGUUUAAUCUCCUCUUUGGGUUCUGGAGGUAAUGGUGCUUGUUUAGUCUCUUCCUUGGGUUGUGGUGGCAAUGGUGGUUGUUUAAUCUCUAUAAUCUCUUCCUUUGUUAUCUUCAUUUGUUCCGGGGGCUUGUGUUGAGCUUGUGCAGAAUCUAGUUGCUCUUUAUUCAGAGAAACACCUUUAAUGGUUUCUUUCUUGGCAUGAGUAAUCAGGCAAUCCGCUGGUAGCUGCAGCCACCAAAUUGCAUUCGAG
rnacentral:misc_RNA from 1 species